rnacentral:lncRNA from 1 species
CUUGCUUUUGGGUUUGUUUUAUUUAUGUUUCUUUAUUUUUUGAGUUUAGACUAGGCUGUUUACGAGGUCUAGAGCAUUUUUUUAGUUUUUAGGCUUUGGCUUAUAAUUAGGGUGGUUAAUGCUCUAAGAUAGUUGCCCCUACAUAAGGUGGCCCCGGAUGUGGUCAAAUAAUGCAUGCUAGGUUACGGACUUGUCCCUUCCUCCUUAUGUGUCUUGGUAGUCGGUUACUUGGUUUUUUGUCACCAAGGCAUGUUUUUGUGUCGACCUCACAUAUGGUUUAUGGUAUUAAAAUAGUUUAGGGUGGCUUAGGUUCUUAGGUCUUAAGUUUCUGAGUUGUUUUGCAUGGUUCAAUUCUUACGUGCCCUAGAGGGUAGAUCGUGUUUAUGUUGUACUCCUACUUUCAGUUAUCAAUAUAUGACUAAUUAACGUCCUUAUUUAAAAAACAGAGUUUUAUCUACAUUUACGUGUGCACUAAAAUCUAGAGUUAUUCAAAUAAUGUCAAUAAUUCUAACAACAAUGCACGUCACACAAAAAGUUACGUACUCAACUUUUUAAUUUUUUUAAAUAUACAUUAUUGUAUUAAUAACGUAUGAGUGAAUGGCAAAAAAGUAUCAUUGCAUUGUAAAUUUCCGCUCACUUAUUAAACAUAUACUAGAGUUAAGAACAUAGAACUAAUGUAGAUACUAGAGUUAAUUAACAUAUACUAUCACUUGAGUGCUCAAUUACGGUGCUUCAAGCACAUACUAACCAUCUCUCUGAUCCAAGAUCUUAUCUGUAGGUUAAGAGCACACAACUUAAGCUACUUCUAGUUUGGAUUUAAGCCCAACUACCUGAUUCCAAAGAUGAACUUGUCUGAGUCUGGACCCAGGCCAAGAGCCCAAGCUCAUUCUAAACCCUAACAGAUCUGUGUCGCUGCUUCCUUCCACAGUCCUUGUCGGCGGCCAAACUAGAUCAGCGCCCAACGUCCUUGAUCAGUCCAUCUCUGCUAGCUUUGCCAUCGAACUUGAGCCACCAGGUGCACGAUGAGCUCUUGCUUCGGUGGAAACCAGAUUCAUGGUUAUUUCCUCCCACAAAUCUGGCGACCCUAGAAUCCUUCUGCUACCUGCAUCGUCAACUCUAAUCAUGAUCGGAAUUUGCACCUUCGCUGUCAAACCUGACUUGAUCACCUUCGGCCAUGCUUGGCUGACAUCAAACUUAAAUUCAGGAAUACCCGACUAAGAAAUAAGUCUUGUGAAAUUUUGUUUCAAAUAGAGAGGAAGAAACAAAUCCCUGUGAAUAUGCAGCCAUGAUUGAAUGAUUAAACUAUCAGCAGAGGACUGUAUCAUCAAAUUAUGGUAUGAACCAAUGAUGGUAUUGGCUCCUGGAUCUAUUUAAAAAGGUAUGAGAAUUGGAAUUUGGUGCAAAGGAAUAAGAGAUGGAGGGUGAAGCCCUCAUGGGGUUGAGUGGUCGAACUCACUAAGGUUGUCGCCGUCAUAGAGAGGUUGCGCUAGGAGCAACGCACAGAGACAUGCUAAUUAAUAGAGAGAGACUAGGGUUUUUCAUUGCUAUUAUGUAUCAUUUAAAUAAUUUUUUCGUUUUAUAUGUAGGCACAAAACUAAUCUUUUCCCCAAUCUCAUGUGAUAAAGUGAUAAUGAUAAUAGUUUUGUAUGGUCGACCCUUCAACAUUAUCUUAUCAGUCUUCUCAAUGAUAACAAAAAUGCUCUCUUAUUAUAAUAUCAAUUUGGCUAAAAAAUACUCCAACGAUAGGAUAUAGAGCCUUAACCCUUUAUUAUAAAAAACAUCUAGAAGAUAUCCGAAAAUAUCCUACACGAUGCCGCUGUUAGUGUAAUAAUUUGCUCUCAAUUUUUUCUACUUCAUCAUUUUUUCCCUUUCUAAUCUCUUGCUUUCUAUUGUCUUCUUUUUACAAAA